rnacentral:misc_RNA from 1 species
CAUGGGGAACGGGGGUUAAGUCAUUAAAAUAUUGUACAUUAAAUAAAUUACAAUUUUCUAACUACUCACACGAGUCGCUUUCUUAUUAAUUGUCCAUUGUGAAAAUUUUAAAUAUAUGUACUUAUCUCCGUUUUCCUUAACACCACAAAUAUUUUUUUUAAACUUUAACUGAAAUAUUCUACUGAAUUCUAAUUUUAAAUAAUUAUUAUCUAUUUUUUUUAAGCAACAAUAAAAUGAUAAUUAUAUUAUUUAUAUAAAUAAAAAAAUUGCAGUUUUAAGUGUAUAAUUUUAUAUAUUUUAAUAUUGACAGAGAUCUUAAUUAUCUUGGAUUAAUUAAAUUAAAAAGGGCAUUAGAGUUAGGAUAGUUAUAAUUGUUUUUUUUUAUAACGCCUAGUUUAAUUAGCUAAUGUGUAAUUAGCGAUAUUAAUUUGUAUGUUCGUCCGUCGGUCGGUUGUUGCAAUGCUUGAUCAUGUCUAGAUGGUUUAAAUGAAUUGUUAACUAAGAUAAUAAAUAUUUGUGACAAUUUUAUAACAAUAUAAAACAAAAAAAA